rnacentral:tRNA from 1 species
GUUGUGGCUCAGUGGUAGAGCACUUGCCUAGCAUGUGUGAUGCCCUGGGUUCAAUCCUCAGCACAACA